UGAAUACGAGACGCUACGGCGUCGAAGCAGUCUAUGUCAUACUUCCAAGAAAAGCUCGCAAUGUCAUAAACAAAUAAUGCCUGUACCAUAACCGACACAGGUGGGUAGGUAGAGUAUACUAAGGGGCGCGAGAUAACUCUCUCUAAGGAACUCGGCAAAAUGACUCCGUAACUUCGGGAGAAGGAGUGCCUUAUUUAUAAGGUUGCAAUAACAAGAUCCAAGCAACUGUUUAUCAAAAACACAGGUCUCCGCUAAGUCGUAAGACGAUGUAUGGGGGCUGACGCCUGCCCAGUGCCAGAAGGUUAAAGAAGUUGGUUAGCAUUCGCGAAGCUGAUAACUGAAGCCCUGGUGAACGGCGGCCGUAACAAUAACGGUCCUAAGGUAGCGAAAUUCCUUGUCGGGUAAGUUCCGACCCGCACGAAAGGCGUAAUGAUUUGGAUACUGUCUCGGAGAGGGGCUCGGUGAAAUAGACUUGUCUGUGAAGAUGCGGACUACCUGCACCUGGACAGAAAGACCCUAUGAAGCUUUACUGUAACUUGAAAUUGAAAUUGGACUUUAUUUGCGCAGCAUAGGUGGGAGGCGUUGAGAGUAUUCUUGCGGGAAUAUUGGAGCCAUCAGUGAGAUACCACUCUUGUAAUGUUAGAUUUCUAACUUUGGAUCAUUAUCUGGUCAAAGAACAGUUUCAGGCGGGCAGUUUGACUGGGGCGGUCGCCUCCCAAAUGGUAACGGAGGCGUACAAAGGUUUCCUCUGAACGGGUAGAAAUCGUAUCUAGAGUGUAAAGGCAUAAGGAAGCUUGACUGUGAGACCUACAAGUCGAGCAGGGACGAAAGUCGGUCUUAGUGAUCUGACGGUGCUGAGUGGAAAGGCCGUCACUCAACGGAUAAAAGUUACUCUAAGGAUAACAGGCUGAUCUCCCCCAAGAGUUCACAUCGACGGGGAGGUUUGGCACCUCGAUGUCGGCUCAUCGCAUCCUGGGGCGGUAGUACGUCCCAAGGGUUGGGCUGUUCGCCCAUGAAAGCGGUACGCGAGCUGGGUUCAGAACGUCGUGAGACAGUUCGGUCCAUAUCCGGUGUAGGCGUUAGAAUAUUGAGAGGAGCCUUCUUUAGUACGAGAGGACCGAGAAGGACAUACCUCUGGUGUACCAGUUAUCGUGCCAACGGUAAACGCUGGGUAGCUAUGUAUGGAGAGGAUAACCGCUGAAAGCAUCUAAGUGGGAAGCCCACCUCAAGAUAAGUAUUCUC
rnacentral:rRNA from 1 species